rnacentral:tRNA from 1 species
GGGGCAUAGCUCAGUUGGGAGAGCGCUUGAAUGGCAUUCAAGAGGUCAUGGGUUCAAGUCCCACUGUCUCC